UGGAGAAUGCUGUCAACUGGAUCAUAUAGCCUACCGAAUGACGGAGAACGCUGUACCCUGGAUCCUAUAUCCUGCUGAGUGACAGAGAAUGCUGUACCUUAGAUCCUAUAGCCUUCCAAAUGACGAAGAAUGCUGUACCCUGGAUCCUAUAUCCUGCCGAAUGAGGGAGAAUGCUGUAGCCUGGAUCCUAUAUCAUGCUGAAUUACAG